CAAUGACCUAAUUUCAAGAUGUCUGCUACCUACAUUCCGGUUAGUGUUAUGAAGCAUAAACGAAAUAAACACAUAAUUCAUUGAUACACACCGAAAGCCGGGACUCCACAGAUCAUGAGGAUAUCUUAUUUGUCUGCCUGUGUCCUACCGUUAAUGAUCACCAGCUCCGUGAGUCAAAAUGUUUAUUUUACACAACGUUUUCACCAAACAGCAAACAUCUUACAAGAGUGGAGGAUGCAGAGGAUUUGGACGAUGACGUUUUGGAGCCACUCCUCCCCAGCAAGGUCUUCACCCCCCACUGCGAUGCCAAUAUCCCCGUCUGAUGGUUCUACAUCCACUUUUCAUAGACCUCUUGAAAAAGAAAAUAGGGGCUUGUGGCACCAUUCGUCCUAACAGAACUGGUUUCCCCAAGACCAAGAUGGUCAAAGCAAAAGGUCAAACCCCUCUCUCCCAGUUGGCCUUCUGAGAGCAGCUGGUGUUGGAAAUGGCUGAAUUGGGGGCCCAAAGCAAUCCACAACCAUCACAAGACCCCCACUCAAGAUAUUUUCCACAUGGAAGAGCAGGAAAUGGGCCUUUGUCCUGACGGGCACCAGUAGACAUGUCAAAGAUGGCUUCUCUCCUCUUCAGAUACCCUGAGCAGGGAGAGAGGGGGUAUGAAGGAGAGGGCAGUAUUGGGAGGGGGUAAGUUCAUACAUAGUGGGAUAUAGGUUUGAGUUUAUAGGAGAGCCCUCCCCACUUCACUUUGGGCUGUCAAUUUAUCCAUUCGCAUGAUGCAGUGAGAAUGCAAACAGACAGAGAGCCAGCCAGUCAGCACUAGCCAUCCAGACAGAGAGCACAAGCCACUCAGGCAGCCAGCACUAGCCAGUCAGACAGCCAGCCAGCACUAGCCAGAUAGACAUAGACAGCCAGCAAGCCAGUACUAGCCAGCCAGUCAGCAUUAGCCAGCCAGCCAUCCAGCACUAGCCAGAUAGCUAGCCAGCCAGCACUAGCCAGACAGCCAUCCUGCCAGCCAGCACUAGCCAGACAGACAAC
rnacentral:lncRNA from 1 species